UACGGAGGGUGCAAGCGUUAAUCGGAAUUACUGGGCGUAAAGCGCACGCAGGCGGUUUGUUAAGUUGGAUGUGAAAACCCCGGGCUCAACCUGGGAACUGCAUUUGAUACUGGCCAGCUAGAGUCUUGUAGAGGGGGGUAGAAUUCCAGGUGUAGCGGUGAAAUGCGUAGAGAUCUGGAGGAAUACCGGUGGCGAAGGCGGCCCCCUGGACAAAGACUGACGCUCAGGUGCGAAAGCGUGGGGAGCAAACAGG
rnacentral:rRNA from 1 species